rnacentral:rRNA from 1 species
UACAGAGGUCUCAAGCGUUGUUCGGAUUCAUUGGGCGUAAAGGGUGCGUAGGCGGCUGGGCAAGUCUGAUGUGAAAUCCCGGAGCUCAACUUCGGAACUGCAUUGGAUACUGCCCGGCUAGAGUACUGGAGAGGAAACUGGAAUUUACGGUGUAGCAGUGAAAUGCGUAGAGAUCGUAAGGAAGGCCAGUGGCGAAGGCGAGUUUCUGGACAGUUACUGACGCUGAGGCACGAAGGCCAGGGGAGCAAACGGG